rnacentral:rRNA from 1 species
GACGAACGCUGGCGGCGUGCCUAAUACAUGCAAGUUGAGCGCUGAAGGUUGGUACUUGUACCAACUGGAUGAGCAGCGGACGGGUGAGUAACGCGUGGGGAAUCUGCCUUUGAGCGGGGGACAACAUUUGGAAACGAAUGCUAAUACCGCAUAAAAACUUUAAACACAAGUUUUAAGUUUGAAAGAUGCAAUUGCAUCACUCAAAGAUGAUCCCCCGUUGUAUUAGGUAGUUGGUGAGGUAAAGGCCCACCAAGGGGAUGAUACAUAGCCGACCUGAGAGGGGGGACGGCCACAAUGGGAAUGGGACACGGCCCAAACUCCUUCGGGAGGGAGCAGGAGGGAAUCUUUGGCAAAGGACGGAAAGCUGACCGGACAAAGCCGGGGGGGUGGAGGAAGGUUUCGGGUCGUAAAACUCUGUUGGUAGGGAAGAACGUUGGUGAGAGUGAAAAGCUCAUCAAGUGACGGUAACUAACCAGAAAGCGACGGCUAACUACGUG